AAUUCAAAGCACUGUUUUCCUGAGUUAGAUUGCAAAAUAAAAUUGGUGAAAAAAGGCCAUUCUCAUUAUUCAAGAUUUAAAAAAUACAAAAAUGCUUGUUGCGGUAUAUAUAAUUAUAGUACACUUCUAAUAUAGGGUAUGAUUGGAACAUUGGAAAAUAGAGCCACACUGGCAUGCUCUGCAAUAUGCUUUUAUGCAACCCAUAUUUCAUAUGUCCAGUUCAACACAU
rnacentral:lncRNA from 1 species